UACGUAGGGUGCGAGCGUUAAUCGGAAUUACUGGGCGUAAAGCGUGCGCAGGCGGUUGGUUAAGACAGAUGUGAAAUCCCCGGGCUUAACCUGGGAACUGCAUUUGUGACUGGCAGUCUAGAGUGCGAGAGAGGGACGUGGAAUUCCGGGUGUAGUGGUGAAAUGCGUAGAGAUCCGGAGGAACCCCAGAGGCGAAGGCGGCGUCCUGGCUCGCAUCUGACGCUCAGACGCGACAGCAUGGGGAGCGAACGGG
rnacentral:rRNA from 1 species